AAGAAUACAUUUAUUUUGCAAUGAAUAUACUUAGCACGCAUAUCCUCUAUUGUUUCAACAGAACAGCAGAAGUGAGUCGUAAUGUUACAUUAUAAAUGAAAACAGUGAAGCCACAACACAUAACACAAACAUGAUGCGCAGUGGGCAUUAUACAUGUAUGUUUUGUCUUUGUGUUUAACAUUUUUCCUUUGCAGUGCUACUGUAUCAUGUACUAAUACUGAACUACAAGGACAACAAGCAAUGUGUAGUACUGGUAAAAAAAAAUACUCAUUAACUCCAUUAAACAUUAUACAUACUCACCCGGUGUGGAGUAACUGGAUCAUGAAGAGAAACAAAUAUGUUCAGUCCAUCGUAUAUUACCUGAUGUAUAUUUACACUGUAAAGGAGUAAUGAUUGCUGAGAGUAGGAAAUGUGGAGGGAAGCUACGUCUGAUGGAUGCUAGGAAAUUGUGUCGUAUUGAUGUAAAUAAAACUAGAAAGAUAUAUAAUCAUCUUGUGUCUAAAGAACUUGUACAACAACGUUAAUGCAUGUAUUUAUCAUUGAAUGGAUUUGCAAUGUAGUUUGGAUUUACUAUCCAAAUUUGUAAGGUGGUUUCUCAGCUGGGUGCAGUGGCGUGUGCCUGUAACUGUAGCUACCUGCAGGGCUGAGGUCUGUA